UGGGGAAUCUUGCACAAUGGAGGAAACUCUGAUGCAGCGAUGCCGCGUGAGUGAAGAAGGCCUUUGGGUUGUAAAGCUCUUUUGUAGGGGAAGAUAAUGACUGUACCCUAAGAAUAAGGUCCGGCUAACUUCGUGCCAGCAGCCGCGGUAAUACGAAGGGACCUAGCGUAGUUCGGAAUUACUGGGCGUAAAGCGCGCGUAGGCCGUUGAGUUAGUUAAUUGUGAAAUCCCAAAGCUUAACUUUGGAACUGCAAUUAAAACUGCUCGACUAGAGUUUGAUAGAGGAAAGCGGAAUACAUAGUGUAGAGGUGAAAUUCGUAGAUAUUAUGUAGAACACCAGUUGCGAAGGCGGCUUUCUGGAUCAACACUGACGCUGAGGCGCGAAAGUAUGGGUAGCAAAGAGGAUUAGAUACCCUGUGUAGUCCAUACCAUAAACGAUGAUUGCUAGAUGUCGGAAAUUUAUUUUCAGUAUCGCAGCUAACGCAUAAGCAAUCCGCCUG
rnacentral:rRNA from 1 species